UGGGGAAUUUUGGACAAUGGGGGCAACCCUGAUCCAGCAAUGCCGCGUGUGUGAAGAAGGCCUUCGGGUUGUAAAGCACUUUUGUCCGGGAAGAAAUCGCACCUGAUAAUACCGGGUGUGGAUGACGGUACCGGAAGAAUAAGGACCGGCUAACUACGUGCCAGCAGCCGCGGUAAUACGUAGGGUCCAAGCGUUAAUCGGAAUUACUGGGCGUAAAGCGUGCGCAGGCGGUUGUGCAAGACCGAUGUGAAAUCCCCGGGCUUAACCUGGGAAUUGCAUUGGUGACUGCACGGCUAGAGUGUGGCAGAGGGGGGUAGAAUUCCACGUGUAGCAGUGAAAUGCGUAGAGAUGUGGAGGAAUACCGAUGGCGAAGGCAGCCCCCUGGGAUAACACUGACGCUCAUGCACGAAAGCGUGGGGAGCAAACAGG
rnacentral:rRNA from 1 species